CCUACGGGAGGCAGCAGUGGGGAAUAUUGCACAAUGGGGGAAACCCUGAUGCAGCGCCGCCGCGUGAGUGAAGAAGUAAUUCGUUAUGUAAAGCUCUAUCAGCAGGGAAGAAAAUGACGGUACCUGAGUAAGAAGCCCCGCCUAACUACGUGCACGCAGACGCGGUAAUACGUAGGGGUCAAGCGUUAUCCGGAUUUACUGGGUGUAAAGGGAGCGUAGACGGUAGUGCAAGUCUGGAGUGAAAGGCGGGGGCUCAACCCCAGGACUGCUCUGGAAACUGUAAGGCUGGAGUGCAGGAGAGGUAAGUGGAAUUCCUAGUGUAGCGGUGAAAUGCGUAGAUAUAAGGAAGAACACCAGUGGCGAAGGCGGAUGACUGGACUGUAACUGACGUUGAGGCUCGAAAGCGUGGGGAGCAAACAGGAUUAGAUACCCUGGUAGUC
rnacentral:rRNA from 1 species